rnacentral:rRNA from 1 species
UACGUAGGGGGCAAGCGUUGUCCGGAUUUAUUGGGCGUAAAGAGCGUGUAGGCGGCCUGACAGGUCAGCUGUGAAAACUCGAGGCUCAACCUCGAGACGUCGGUUGAAACCAUCUGGCUAGAGUCCGGAAGAGGAGUGUGGAAUUCCCGGUGUAGCGGUGAAAUGCGCAGAUAUCAGGAAGAACACCCGUGGCGAAGGCGGUUCUCUGGGACGGUACUGACGCUGAGACGCGAAAGCGUGGGGAGCGAACAGG